UUAUAAACUUUUCCAGACACCACAGCCAUUUUACAAACUUGCCAGGCACCACUACAAUGCCAUAAAGUAGCCAGACACCACAACAACAAAAAAGCAUAACUUAACACCUGAUAAACAAAAAGCAGUUUAAAUACAAAAAAAUAUAGGCAAUGUAGUCAAUUAUAAAAAAUAUAGGCAAUGUAGGCAAUUAUAAAAAAUAUGACAGAAACUGAUGAAAACAAAGUCUGAAGGAUAAAUACUAACACUGGUGACGAAUUUUAAGUACCGAGUAACUAUAUUCACCUUGGUUCAUAUUUAAAAGUUGUUUUUUUUAAAUACAAAAUUCAGACACAUUUAUGCACAAACCUUGAUUCUAUUAAAAAUUACUUAAAUUCUUGUUCACCUUCUUUAAGCAAUAAAAUGUAGAGAGAGAGAGAGAG